rnacentral:rRNA from 1 species
CCUACGGGUGGCAGCAGUGAGGAAUAUUGGUCAAUGGGCGCGAGCCUGAACCAGCCACGUAGCGUGAAGGAUGACUGCCCUACGGGUUGUAAACUUCUUUUAUAAAGGAAUACAGUGAGGCACGUGUGCCUUUUUGUUUUUACUUUAUGAGUAAGGGUCGGCUACAUUCGUGCCAGCCUCCGCGGUAAUACGGAGGGUCCGAGCGUUAUCCGGAUUUAUUGUGUUUAAAGGGAGCGUAGAUGGGUUGUUAAGUCAGUUGUGAAAGUUUGCGGCUCAACCGUAAAAUUGCAAUUGAUACUGGCAGCCUUGAGUACAGUUGAGGUAGGCGGAAUUCGGGGUGUAGCGGUGAAAUGCUUAGAUAUCACGAAGAACUCCGAUUGCGAAGGCAGCUUACUAAACUGCCACUGACAUUGAUGCUCGAAAGUGUGGGUAUCAAACAGGAUGAGAUACCCCAGUAGUC